rnacentral:rRNA from 1 species
AGUGAACGCUGGCGGUAGGCCUAACACAUGCAAGUCGAGCGGCAGCACAGUAAGAGCUUGCUCUUACGGGUGGCGAGUGGCGGACGGGUGAGGAAUACAUCGGAAUCUACUUUUUCGUGGGGGAUAACGUAGGGAAACUUACGCUAAUACCGCAUACGACCUACGGGUGAAAGCAGGGGAUCUUCGGACCUUGCGCGAUUGAAUGAGCCGAUGUCGGAUUAGCUAGUUGGCGGGGUAAAGGCCCACCAAGGCGACGAUCCGUAGCUGGUCUGAGAGGAUGAUCAGCCACACUGGAACUGAGACACGGUCCAGACUCCUACGGGAGGCAGCAGUGGGGAAUAUUGGACAAUGGGCGCAAGCCUGAUCCAGCCAUACCGCGUGGGUGAAGAAGGCCUUCGAGUUGUAAAGCCCUUUUGUUGGGAAAGAAAAGCAGCAGGUUAAUACCCCGCUGUUCUGACGGUACCCAAAGAAUAAGCACCGGCUAACUUCGUG